CAAUUCUUUCUGCAGCCCCUGGUUUUGACCGGAGCCUUCAUCCAUCUUUUGGAUACACCAUAGUGCAUAUACUGCUCUCAUGUUUUCAGACUCAGAAUGAAUCACGCUGCUGGCUUUCUUCAGUCCCCAGCAUGCAGACCACAGACCAUGGCGGCUCUCAGCCUGCACAUAAU